AGCAGCCGCGGUAAUUCCAGCUCCAAUAGCGUAUAUUAAAGUUGUUGCAGUUAAAAAGCUCGUAGUUGAAUUUCGGGAUUAGUACGUUGGUCGUGCCUUCGGUACGUACUGGUGUUACUGAUUCCUACCUUCUGACGAACCAUCAUGUCAUUUAUUUGGUGUGGCGGGGAAUCAGGACUGUUACUUUGAAAAAAUUAGAGUGUUUAAAGCAGGCUCGCGCUUGAAUACAUUAGCAUGGAAUAAUGAAAUAGGACGUUGACCCUAUUUUGUUGGUUUCUAGGAUUGACGUAAUGAUUAAUAGGGAUAGUUGGGGGCAUUAGUAUUCAAUUGUCAGAGGUGAAAUUCUUGGAUUUAUUGAAGACUAACUACUGCGAAAGCAUUUGCCAAGGAUGUUUUCAUUAAUCAAGAACGAAAGUUAGGGGAUCGAAGACGAUCAGAUACCGUCGUAGUCUUAACCAUAAACUAUGCCGACUAGGGAUCGGAUGAUGUUAUUUUUAAUGACUCAUUCGGUGCCUUACGG
rnacentral:rRNA from 1 species